UACGUAGGGUACAAGCGUUGUCCGGAAUUAUUGGGCGUAAAGAGCUCGUAGGCGGUUUGUCGCGUCUGCUGUGAAAACUCGGGGCUUAACUCCGGGCCUGCAGUGGGUACGGGCAGACUAGAGUGCGGUAGGGGAGACUGGAAUUCCUGGUGUAGCGGUGAAAUGCGCAGAUAUCAGGAAGAACACCCGUGGCGAAGGCGGCUCUCUGGGACGGUACUGACGCUGAGACGCGAAAGCGUGGGGAGCAAACAGG
rnacentral:rRNA from 1 species